GACGUAGGGCGCGAGCGUUGUCCGGAUUUAUUGGGCGUAAAGGGCUCGUAGGUGGCCAACUAAGUCAGACGUGAAAUCCCUCGGCUUAACCGGGGAACUGCGUCUGAUACUGGAUGGCUUGAGUUUGGGAGAGGGAUGCGGAAUUCCAGGUGUAGCGGUGAAAAGCGUAGAUAUCUGGAGGAACACCGGUGGCGAAGGCGGCAUCCUGGACCAACACUGACACUGAGGAGCGAAAGCCAGGGGAGCAAACGGG
rnacentral:rRNA from 1 species